rnacentral:rRNA from 1 species
AACGAACGCUGGCGGCAUGCCUAACACAUGCAAGUCGAACGAGACCUUCGGGUCUAGUGGCGCACGGGUGCGUAACGCGUGGGAACCUGCCCUUAGGUUCGGAAUAACUCCCCGAAAGGGGUGCUAAUACCGGAUAAUGUCUUCGGACCAAAGAUUUAUCGCCUUUGGAUGGGCCCGCGUUGGAUUAGCUAGUUGGUAGGGUAAAAGCCUACCAAGGCGACGAUCCAUAGCUGGUCUGAGAGGAAGAUCAGCCACACUGGGACUGAGACACGGCCCAGACUCCUACGGGAGGCAGCAGUGGGGAAUAGUGGACAGUGGGCGGAGGCCUGAUCCAGCAAUGCCGCGUGAGUGAUGAAGGCCUUAGGGUUGUAAAGCUCUUUUACCCGGGAUGAUAAUGACAGUACCGGGAGAAUAAGCUCCGGCUAACUCCGUG